rnacentral:rRNA from 1 species
GACGAACGCUGGCGGCGUGCUUAACACAUGCAAGUCGAACGGAAAGGGCCUGCUUUUGUGGGGUGCUCGAGUGGCGAACGGGUGAGUAACACGUGAGUAACCUGGCCUUGACGUUGGGAUAACUUCAGGAAACUGGGGCUACUACCGGCUAGGAGCUCCUGCUGCAUGGUGGGCGUUGGAAAGUUUCGGCGGAUGGGGAUGGACUCGGGGCUUAUCAGCUUGUUGGGGGGGUAGUGGCUUACCAAGGCAUUGACGGGUAGCCGGCCUGAGAGGGUGACCGGCCACAUUGGGACUGAGAUACGGCCCAGACUCCUACGGGAGGCAGCAGUGGGGAAUAUUGCACAAUGGGCGGAAGCCUGAUGCAGCAACGCCGCGUGCGGGAUGACGGCCUUCGGGUUGUAAACCGCUUUCGCCUGUGACGAAGCGUGAGUGACGAUAAUGGGUAAAGAAGCACCGGCUAACUACGUG